rnacentral:lncRNA from 1 species
ACGUCAUAUCCAGCAAAAAGAGAUGCUAGUGGAUGUGAAAAGCGACUUGCUUAUCUUACAGAACAGAUCUCCACGACUACAUAAUUAUUUAGAGGCGAAUAUCAUGAUGUUACAACAAACCUUUGGGGAAUUGAGCUGCUUCAUAACAGAUGAAAAUGAUAACUGGAGUAUGAAACGAGCUCCCACCGGCACUAUCACCAACACUACCAUCACCAUGGCACUAUCACCACUGCCACCACCACAGCACCAACACAUAUGGCAAGCGGAGUUAACGAGUAAAUCCUGAGAAAUUUACAACUGGAUCAUGGAGACACUGCUGUUACAGUCCAGGGCAGCAAGCACAGAGCAGAGCAGUCCAGGGGAGCAGCACACA